GAUGAACGCUGGCGGCGUGCCUAAUACAUGCAAGUCGAGCGAACAGACGAGAGUGCUUGCACUCUCUGAUGUUAGCGGCGGACGGGUGAGUAACACGUGGGUAACCUACCUAUAAGACUGGGAUAACUUCGGGAAACCGGAGCUAAUACCGGAUAAUAUUUAGCUUCGCAUGAAGCAAUAGUGAAAGACGGUUCUGCUGUCACUUAUAGAUGGACCCGCGGUGUAUUAGCUAGUUGGUGAGGUAACGGCUCACCAAGGCAACGAUACAUAGCCGACCUGAGAGGGUGAUCGGCCACACUGGAACUGAGACACGGCCCAGACUCCUACGGGAGGCAGCAGUAGGGAAUCUUCGGCAAUGGGCGAAAGUCUGACGGAGCAAUGCCGCGUGAGUGAAGAAGGUCUUCGGAUCGUAAAACUCUUUUGUUAGGGAAGAACAGCUACGUGAGAAACUGAAGCUACCUUGACGGUACCUAACCAGAAAGCCACGGCUAACUACGUG
rnacentral:rRNA from 1 species